UUAAGCGACUAAGCGUACACGGUGGAUGCCCUGGCAGUCAGAGGCGAUGAAGGACGUGCUAAUCUGCGAAAAGCGUCGGUAAGGUGAUAUGAACCGUUAUAACCGGCGAUGUCCGAAUGGGGAAACCCAGUGCAAUUCGUUGCACUAUCGUUAACUGAAUACAUAGGUUAACGAGGCGAACCGGGGGAACUGAAACAUCUAAGUACCCCGAGGAAAAGAAAUCAACCGAGAUUCCCCCAGUAGCGGCGAGCGAACGGGGAGCAGCCCAGAGUCUGAAUCAGCUUGUGUGUUAGUGGAACGGUCUGGAAAGUCCGACGGUACAGGGUGAUAGUCCCGUACACCAAAAUGCACAGGCUGUGAACUCGAAGAGUAGGGCGGGACACGUGGUAUCCUGUCUGAAUAUGGGGGGACCAUCCUCCAAGGCUAAAUACUCCUGACUGACCGAUAGUGAACCAGUACCGUGAGGGAAAGGCGAAAAGAACCCCGGCGAGGGGAGUGAAAAAGAACCUGAAACCGUGUACGUACAAGCAGUGGGAGCACCUUCGGGUGUGACUGCGUACCUUUUGUAUAAUGGGUCAGCGACUUAUAUUCUGUAGCAAGGUUAACCGUAUAGGGGAGCCGCAGGGAAACCGAGUCUUAACUGGGCGUUAAGUUGCAGGGUAUAGACCCGAAACCCGGUGAUCUAGCCAUGGGCAGGUUGAAGGUUGGGUAACACUAACUGGAGGACCGAACCGACUAAUGUUGAAAAAUUAGCGGAUGACUUGUGGCUGGGGGUGAAAGGCCAAUCAAACCGGGAGAUAGCUGGUUCUCCCCGAAAGCUAUUUAGGUAGCGCCUCGUGAAUUCAUCUUCGGGGGUAGAGCACUGUUUCGGCUAGGGGGUCAUCCCGACUUACCAACCCGAUGCAAACUACGAAUACCGAAGAAUGUUAUCACGGGAGACACACGGCGGGUGCUAACGUCCGUCGUGAAGAGGGAAACAACCCAGACCGCCAGCUAAGGUCCCAAAGUCAUGGUUAAGUGGGAAACGAUGUGGGAAGGCACAGACAGCCAGGAUGUUGGCUUAGAAGCAGCCAUCAUUUAAAGAAAGCGUAAUAGCUCACUGGUCGAGUCGGCCUGCGCGGAAGAUGUAACGGGGCUAAACCAUGCACCGAAGCUGCGGCAGCGACACUAUGUGUUGUUGGGUAGGGGAGCGUUCUGUAAGCCUGCGAAGGUGACCUGUGAGGGUUGCUGGAGGUAUCAGAAGUGCGAAUGCUGACAUAAGUAACGAUAAAGCGGGUGAAAAGCCCGCUCGCCGGAAGACCAAGGGUUCCUGUCCAACGUUAAUCGGGGCAGGGUGAGUCGACCCCUAAGGCGAGGCCGAAAGGCGUAGUCGAUGGGAAACAGGUUAAUAUUCCUGUACUUGGUGUUACUGCGAAGGGGGGACGGAGAAGGCUAUGUUAGCCGGGCGACGGUUGUCCCGGUUUAAGCAUGUAGGCUGGUUGUCCAGGCAAAUCCGGAUAAUCAAGGCUGAGGUGUGAUGACGAGGCACUACGGUGCUGAAGUAACAAAUGCCCUGCUUCCAGGAAAAGCCUCUAAGCAUCAGGUAACAUCAAAUCGUACCCCAAACCGACACAGGUGGUCAGGUAGAGAAUACCAAGGCGCUUGAGAGAACUCGGGUGAAGGAACUAGGCAAAAUGGUGCCGUAACUUCGGGAGAAGGCACGCUGGUGUGUAGGUGAAGUCCCUGCGGAUGGAGCUGAGACCAGUCGAAGAUACCAGCUGGCUGCAACUGUUUAUUAAAAACACAGCACUGUGCAAACACGAAAGUGGACGUAUACGGUGUGACGCCUGCCCGGUGCCGGAAGGUUAAUUGAUGGGGUUAUCCGUAAGGAGAAGCUCUUGAUCGAAGCCCCGGUAAACGGCGGCCGUAACUAUAACGGUCCUAAGGUAGCGAAAUUCCUUGUCGGGUAAGUUCCGACCUGCACGAAUGGCGUAAUGAUGGCCAGGCUGUCUCCACCCGAGACUCAGUGAAAUUGAACUCGCUGUGAAGAUGCAGUGUACCCGCGGCAAGACGGAAAGACCCCGUGAACCUUUACUAUAGCUUGACACUGAACAUUGAGCCUUGAUGUGUAGGAUAGGUGGGAGGCUUUGAAGCGUGGACGCCAGUCUGCGUGGAGCCAACCUUGAAAUACCACCCUUUAAUGUUUGAUGUUCUAACGUUGGCCCCUGACCGGGGUUGCGGACAGUGUCUGGUGGGUAGUUUGACUGGGGCGGUCUCCUCCCAAAGCGUAACGGAGGAGCACGAAGGUUAGCUAAUCCUGGUCGGACAUCAGGAGGUUAGUGCAAUGGCAUAAGCUAGCUUGACUGCGAGCGUGACGGCGCGAGCAGGUGCGAAAGCAGGUCAUAGUGAUCCGGUGGUUCUGAAUGGAAGGGCCAUCGCUCAACGGAUAAAAGGUACUCCGGGGAUAACAGGCUGAUACCGCCCAAGAGUUCAUAUCGACGGCGGUGUUUGGCACCUCGAUGUCGGCUCAUCACAUCCUGGGGCUGAAGUAGGUCCCAAGGGUAUGGCUGUUCGCCAUUUAAAGUGGUACGCGAGCUGGGUUUAGAACGUCGUGAGACAGUUCGGUCCCUAUCUGCCGUGGGCGCUGGAGAAUUGAGGGGGGCUGCUCCUAGUACGAGAGGACCGGAGUGGACGCAUCACUGGUGUUCGGGUUGUCAUGCCAAUGGCACUGCCCGGUAGCUAAAUGCGGAAGAGAUAAGUGCUGAAAGCAUCUAAGCACGAAACUUGCCCCGAGAUGAGUUCUCCCUGAGACUUUAAGUCUCCUGAAGGAACGUUAAAGACGAUGACGUUGAUAGGCCGGGUGUGUAAGCGCAGCGAUGCGUUGAGCUAACCGGUACUAAUGAACCGUGAGGCUUAACCUU
rnacentral:rRNA from 3 species